rnacentral:sRNA from 1 species
AUUCUGCCCAAGCGGGGAAGGAUGAGAAGCUUCAACCAAGGUUCGACUUGAGCGCCAGCGAGAGAGCGUUGCCGCAGGCAACGACCCGUAGGGCGAAGCGCGCAGCGCUGAGUAAUCCUUCCCCCACCACCA